CUUGCAGAGCAGAUAGGGUGUGCAGGGGUCUUGCAGAGCAAACAGGGUGUGCAGGGGGUUGUUGCAGAGCAGACAGGGUGUGCAGGGAGUGUUGCAGAGCAGAUAGGGUGUGCAGGGGGUUGUUGCAGAGCAGGAAGGGUGUGCAGGGGUCUUGCAGAGCAGAUAGGGUGUGUAGGGGGUCUUGCAGAGCAGAUAGGGUGUGCAGGGAGUUGUUGCAGAGCAGAUAGGGUCUUGCAGAGCAUAUAGGGUGUGCAGGGAUUGUUGCAGAGCAUAGAGGGUGUGCAGGGGGUCUUGCAGAGCAGAUAGGGUGUGGGCAGGGGUCUUGCAGAGCAGAUAGGGUGUGCAGGAAAUCUUGCAGAGCAGAUAGGGUGUGCAGGGGGUCUUGCAGA